UGGGGAAUCUUAGACAAUGGGCGCAAGCCUGAUCUAGCCAUGCCGCGUGAUCGAUGAAGGCCUUAGGGUUGUAAAGAUCUUUCAGGUGGGAAGAUAAUGACUGUACCACCAGAAGAAGCCCCGGCUAACUCCGUGCCAGCAGCCGCGGUAAUACGGAGGGGGCUAGCGUUGUUCGGAAUUACUGGGCGUAAAGCGCACGUAGGCGGAUCAGAAAGUCAGAGGUGAAAUCCCAGGGCGCAACCUUGGAACUGCCUUUGAAACUCCUGAUCUUGAGGUCGAGAGAGGUGAGUGGAAUUCCGAGUGUAGAGGUGAAAUUCGUAGAUAUUCGGAGGAACACCAGUGGCGAAGGCGGCUCACUGGCUCGAUACUGACGCUGAGGUGCGAAAGCGUGGGGAGCAAACA
rnacentral:rRNA from 1 species